rnacentral:lncRNA from 1 species
UGAUGGCCCCAUAGCACCCCAUAUUGCCCCAUAGAGACCCAUAUUGACCCAUAGAGACCCACUGAUGGCCCCAUAGCCCCCCAUAUUGCCCCAUAGAGACCCAUAUUGACCCAUAGAGACCCAUAGCCCCCCAUAUUGCCCCAUAGCAACCCCAUAUUGCCCCAUAACACCCCAUAGCCCCCCAUAUUGCCCCAUAGCCUCCCACAUUACCCCAUAUUGCCCCAUAGCUGGGAUCUCCUAUUACAACGGGUGCCCCCCCCCCCCAAUUAAUUAUUCAUGAGGCCGCCGAUGACGUCACGCCGCUCUUUGCUCCGCCCACGCCGGCAGAUUGACGAGCAGCGACUGCAGAACCGAGGACCAAUCACGGCGCAGCACCAGCACCUGGGGGCGGGGCCAAGGGAAAAGGGGGCGGGGUUACACAUCUAUGGGGCAGCCCCACACAUCUAUGGGGCACAGACCCCAUCUAUAGGGCACAGACCCCAUCUAUGGGGCACAGCCUCCAUCUAUGGGGCACAGACUCCAUCUAUGGGUCCACCCCACACAUCUAUGGGGCACAGACCCCAUCUAUGGGUCCACCCCACACAUCUAUGGGGCACAG